CAGAACCAGUGUAAAGACAGAUGCAGUGAUGACUACACUGUCAGACACAACCUCGUGAGCGAUCAGCUGUGUGAAGGUGGAUUUGACGCUGAGGCGACACGUUUGAAGGAUGACCCUGAAGUGUCUGUGAAACAUCUUAACAAGACUGAUGAAGAUGUGGAAGGUUUAUACACUCUUGGAUCUCCACAACGUCUUCCAGAAGAGAAGGACCUCAACAUCCUGGCAAAUAGAGGCCCAGAUGGCCACGGAUGUGAUCUCAGCACCCCCC